AUACGAAGGGUGCGAGCGUUAAUCGGAAUUACUGGGCGUAAAGCGCGCGUAGGCGGUUGGAUAAGUCGGAUGUGAAAGCCCCGGGCUCAACCUGGGAAUUGCAUUCGAAACUGUCCGGCUCGAGUAUGGUAGAGGGAAGCGGAAUUCCACAUGUAGCGGUGAAAUGCGUAGAUAUGUGGAGGAACACCAGUGGCGAAGGCGGCUUCCUGGACCAAUACUGACGCUGAGGUGCGAAAGCGUGGGGAGCAAACAGGAUUAGAUACCCUAGUAGUCC
rnacentral:rRNA from 1 species